rnacentral:rRNA from 1 species
AGUGAACGCUGGCGGUAGGCCUAACACUUGCAAGUCGAACGGCAGCACAGUAAGAGCUUGCUCUUACGGGUGGCGAGUGGCGGACGGGUGAGGAAUACAUCGGAAUCUACUUUUUCGUGGGGGAUAACGUAGGGAAACUUACGCUAAUACCGCAUACGACCUACGGGUGAAAGCAGGGGAUCUUCGGACCUUGCGCGAUUGAAUGAGCCGAUGUCGGAUUAGCUAGUUGGCGGGGUAAAGGCCCACCAAGGCGACGAUCCGUAGCUGGUCUGAGAGGAUGAUCAGCCACACUGGAACUGAGACACGGUCCAGACUCCUACGGGAGGCAGCAGUGGGGAAUAUUGGACAAAGGGCGCAAGCCUGAUCCAGCCAUACCGCGUGGGUGAAGAAGGCCUUCGGGUUGUAAAGCCCUUUUGUUGGGAAAGAAAAGCAGCAGGUUAAUACCCCGCUGUUCUGACGGUACCCAAAGAAUAAGCACCGGCUAACUUCGUG